GUGAGCUCAUUUCCUGCAGUUGUCACUAAAUACAUUGAAUCUGAUCUGGAUAGUAGCCUCAGGAUUUCCUACAAUUCCCUCUGACGAGCAAAGUGAAGCACUGCUGGUCCCUGUUCUGGGCAGGAGCAUCAGACGUGGAAAAAGAAAGGUGCCAGCACAGUGGACAGAGGAGCGUGCUUAGGACAAGUAACAUGUGAACAGGUCCUUGCUGGCUCAGUUGGAACAUUACCCUUGGCAGUGGAGAGAAUUUUCCAUCUUCACAAACAGUUGUAAGCCAAUAGGACCAAGGAUGGAGCUGCGGGGUGCAGAGUG
rnacentral:lncRNA from 1 species